rnacentral:rRNA from 1 species
AAUCAAUUGGCUUAUAAUUGAAGUCUGGAAUGAAAGGGAAAUUGGGGUUAGACUGUCUUAUGAAUAUACCUAGAAUUUACUAAAUAGGUGAAAAUUCCUAUACGUGGAAAAAAGACGAGAAGACCCUAGAAAUUUUAAUAAUAAAUCACUUUAUUUUUGUUGGGGCGACAGGGUAACAGAAAACUUACCCGACUAUAUAGGUAGUUUAUAAACUGUGCAAUCAAAUUACUCUAGGGAUAACAGCAUAAUAUUUUAAAGAUUGUGACCUCGAUGUUGGACUAGGGAGUAUAAUACUUAAAAGGUAUUAUAAUCGGCU